rfam:Ictidomys tridecemlineatus contig070370, whole genome shotgun sequence.
UAGCUCAGUUGGUAGAGUGCUUGCCUUGCAUGCACAAGGCCCUGGGUUCAAUCCCCAG